UCAUCCACUGUUUGGUAAAAAGAGUCUUUAGACUCACUGUCAGAUGGUAGAGUUGGAGCAUACACACUUAGAAGUGUGGCAUAGCGGUUCUUCACCUGGGGGAUACGGAGGGUCAUCAGUCUUUCACUGAUGCCCACAGGAGUUUCAGUGAGUCUUGGCAGUCUUCUUUCUUAAUUGCCAGUCCCACACCAUGCAGAUGUCUCCUGGACUCCUAUAGCAGGUCUGAAAGACCCCACAGAACAACAGCGCUGGUUACAGCCGAGCCGCACAGCUAUGAUAUCGACAUUGCUGCCCUGAGUGAAACCAGGCUCCUUGAUGAGGGGUCUCUAACAGAGGAGGACAUGGGCUACACCUUCUACAGGAAAGGCUAUCCCACAGGUGGACAACAUCUGCAAGGUGAGGUCUCAGUGUGUUCAACACAAACAGUAAAAGCUGAACUGGUUUGACCUUUCACCUGUUCGCCAGCAUCACGCUGAGCUCGUAUGAGCAUGAAGAAGGUUUACUGCAGGAGCGCUCCUGUUCCUGUCUGAAGCCGAGUUAUUCUGGGACUGCGAUGCUUCAUCUCUCUGGAGACUCUAACUUUAACUGUCUUCUCACACAUAUCUACCACAUCCAUGAGUCACCAGCAUCCUCUCAGAAGAUCUCACAGUAUUCAUCAUAAAACUGGCCACCUGUUAGAUCUGGAA